rnacentral:piRNA from 1 species
UAGACAACAUUGAAGGCGUCUAACAGU